UAGUUUACCGACAGGCCUCUGCACAUGCGCAGAUGUUAGCAAUUUAAUCCGGGCAGACGACACUUUACUCGUCUGCAAAGUAAAAUUUCAAAGAGAUGACCGACAUGCGGCAUAAGCCACUGCUCAGCACUGCCCCAAAGAACCCUAAAGAACUGUGUAAACUUCUGCUGCCCUGAACCUUUUCAGUCACCAGCCAGGUACAGGGACACAAAUAAACUACAAACCACCGAACAUGCAGUAAGUCAGUGCAGUAUCAAGGAAUGCUGUUUUGUCACAUGAACAACAACAUUCUUCUAAUGGUGAAGAAACUGAGGAAUUUCCAAAAUUGAAUAUUACACUUGGCAGCUCAAAAGAACUGCAGACAAUGGAUAAACUCUUCAGAUAACAUGAAAAAAAAACCUGGUGGGAAAUCUCUUUUUUUAAAACAAGUCAUUAUUAACAGUCCUUGAAGGUACGGGAGCCAAGGAGGGCUUCUUGGUGCUCGGCUUUCCUUGGGUACCGUUGCUCUUGCAGUCGCUUGUGCAGACAACAGCACUACACUGCAGACAAGCACAGCGAACACAGCGCUGGUCAGUGGGUAUUUCAUUAUCUUCUACCUAGUUUUAUGAAGACAACAGAUGUAUCUUGUGCAGAAAACAAUUAUUUCCGUACGUAAAAAACAACUUAGCUCUCUCAAGCAGAUGUUGACCAUAUGGCUGUCCUAACAUACGUGCAACAUUAUAUACUCUUCCAGGAUAUGCAAUCUUCAUUUUGCUUCUUUGGUGCGUGAAAGAGAUCGCCAGCAUCUACGUUUCGACCAGGACCGGCGCUGGGGGGAUAGGGAGCGAGCAGGGGCGACCACCCAAGGCCCCGCGCCUGACGAAGGCCCCGCUAACAAGUGCACCUUCAGGAGGAGAAAGUCCGUAAUUGUUUAUUGCCCUGCUACGUAUGUUGUGCCGGCUUCCAAAGGUCCCGCAAUUCUAUUUGCCCAAGGUCCCGCAUCCCCCUAGCGCCUGCUCUGUUUCGACAAUUUAAACAAAAAUCUCAAAAAAGGAAGACUUCCCAAGAGAAAGCUGAUACAUAAUCGGAACAAGUAUCAAAUUGUUUACCCAUUUGAGCUCGCCAAAUGUAAGGACAUUUCAAGUGAAUGUGUUCGAAGAUAAAAUUGAAUAUCCAAAGAGGAGAAUGAGAUGAGGCUGAAUGUGAAUGAACAAGUUGGUUUGAUACCAAAAUGCAGGCAAUUGUGCUUAUGGUUUUAGAAUUAUGAAGAAGACGACAAGGUUUGUGCCGUACAGCAGCAGACAAUCAAUUCAAAAUCCUGUACAUUUCAAACCCUUGUUGACACUCUCAUUUAUUAUUCUUAGUCUCCUAUUUAAUUUCUUGAAUACUGAAAAUGGUAUUAGACUGUGAUAUAAUGUUUGAGGACUGACUGCGCUGGCAACAACAGCUGAAUGGUUUAGUAUAAAAAAAUUUGCAGACUAGUUAUUUGUUGUCAGUGAACCGUGGAGUUGUUUUUUUUUUUUUUUUUUUUUUUUUUUUUUUUUUUUUUUUGUAAAGUCGCUGUGUAGGGCGAGGAGAAAUAUAUUCCUCUGUAGUAUAUUUAUUAUAAACCUAAUGCUUCCAUGACAGGUGCGAAUCGAACGUGAUUGUUCUGGGUACUCAGUCGCAGAAAUGAACUACAGUUAUCUUUUCAUUGGUGUCCGCACGAUGUAACCCCUAGGCAAUCCGUUCCCCUAGAAAAACUUUUUGUGCUUACAUGUUACAUAAGAAUGUGCAUUGAAAUAGAGUAAAUAAAAAAGUGAAAUUAAGUGCAAAUCGUUUCAAGGA